CACAAGACGGAGCUACCCGAUGCUAAAAAUAUGCAGCAAUUCAACAUAAGCAACAUUCCCAUUUCAGGAAAUUAAACCAUUAUCCUUAAGAAGAAUAGGGCAACCAACCUGAUUGAUGGGAUGGAGUGCCACUCCUGUGAGGAAACAUUGCAGCUUCUGGAACUUUUUAAGUUUAGAGAAAAGGCAGCUAAGAGGUGAUAUGAUAGAUGUGCAUGAAAUUAUACAUUGCAUGGAGAAAGUAGAUAUUGGGGGGGGGGGAGAGAAAUCCUCCUCUCUCCUAACCCUAGAACUUGUGAACAUCCAAUGAAGAUUAGUGGCAGAAAAGGGAAGUACCUAGUUAAGCACAGGUUCAGACUGUGGAACUUGCUCACACAGGAGGCAAAUGAUGACCACCAAUUUGGAUAGCUUUAAAGAAGAGUAUUGGGCAAAUUCAUGGGGGAUAAGGCUAUCAACGGUUGCAAGCCAUGAUGAAGGCUAUGGUUGGAGGCACCAAUGUUUCAGAAUUUCAGUUACUGGGAACCACAGAAGGAUAGAGUGCACAGGUCCUGCUUGUGAGUGUUGGAGCCUCCGUACAACCGAGCUGAAAUGGCUAUUCCUCUGGCCGUAUCUUCGGAAUCCCCUCCGACGGUGAUUAACAACCUAAGCCUUUGCAUGAGGCUUCAGGCACGCUCCCCAUUCCGCAGAGUACCCAGACAGCAGCAGAAAUAUGUGCUACAUUGCUACGUUUAUUUCUAACUACGCAGGACAGAAAGAAUAUGCAUCUGCUCUCUGUGAGAGUCAGAAAACAACACAGGAACAAAGAAACAGGAAACCAGUAACAUCAACAUCCAUCUCCCGUGAGACUGCCAACAGUCUGGAAUGUCAACAGAGUCUUGUGACUCCAAGAACUGCACAGUGGCAUAACAGAAACCUAACAGUGAGUUUCCUACAGGUAUCUGGUAAGCCACUGGACUAAAUAUAUAGGCCAUUGGCCUGAUCCAGCAAGAUCUUAUUUUGUUCUUAUCUGGAAGACACCAUGUUGGUGAACGCUGCCUUAUGCAGUCAACUCUCUCCCUCCCCACGCGCACAAUUCAGCAGCAGCAGCAGCAGGAGGCAAAUUCAGCAAUGUGUAUAGCAACUGACAGAGCUGUGUAACAAUAUUGUCCAAUUUCCCAGAGAAGUGGUCAACCUGUCUACAAAAUCUAACCUGUAAUAACUCUGAGUUGAUCCAAUUUGUUUCCUUUUCUUUCUUUCUUUCUGGUCCUGAAGGAAAGUACAAUUAUUUUUGAAGCUAUGCCUUACAGUAGACCUGCACAACUCGCAACCCACCAAGCCUAGCACUGCAUGUAUCGUGACCUUUCAGGAGGUGGGUACUCCCCUCUUGUUUUCAGUCCUAGGAAAACAGCAAAAUAAGGGAGUUUAUUGAGUUUAUGUUGGGCUGACACAUAUUACUGAUAACCCUCCAUCAGGGUCAAGUCAGAGAGGCAUAUGCAGGGAGCAUAAUGUGAUUUUUCUUGCAUAUCAUCACUCUAUGAAUAGCACUGCAUAAAAGAAAAGUUGCAAUCCAGUUAUGAUCGACAAAAGAGCAACAUUUGCAUGCAAAAAGACCGAAGCCAACAAGGAAAAGUUGUUUUUAAAAGUCCAAAAAAAUAUAUCUCUAUUACAAAUAAAACAAAAUAAAUAUAUUUGGAAUAAUUUUCAAUCCAGAAAUAAGAAGAGGUCACUGGGGCCCUGAUGAAAAAGCAUAUCUUCUUUAAUUUAUAUUUAUUUCAGUAAUAAUAAUAAUAAUUACAAACUAUGCUUGCAUCAAAUUAUAGUUUGUACAGGCAGCAAAACUGGAGCUAAUGGCAAAUGAGGAAAGCCUGCCUUUGGGCAUGCUAUUUGAAUAUUUUGCUUUCAACCUUUCCUUGAUGGUUUUAUUGAUGUAGGUUUUGUUUUAUUUGUAUCUGUCACAGUUAAACAUUCCUGUUUAGGGAAGUUUCUGAGUAUUUUUGCCACCCAAAUUUCUCCCCAGAUUUUGGUGUUCUGAGCUACCUGGACUUAUUAUUAAUGAGGAACCAACCAAUGCAUCAGAAAAUAUCAUUUUCCUCUUUUUAAAAAUUUCCUAUUUUUAUGCUGAGUACUGUGCAUGAAAAGAUUGCUGCUCUCCGCCCCACCAAACAACACUACAUUAUUACAAUACAUGACUGCACUGAUAAAGCACUGCAGAAAGAGAAAUCCAUUUUGAGCCAGCCAAAUUGCAUGAUUGUGUCAACAUUCUUUUGGUGUAGGGUUUUACACACACACACUUGUACACAUUGAUAAAACACUGCAAAGAGACAGAUCAAGCAAUACAUGUUUGUACUGAUCCAUGUUUGUGGAUCUACCAGCAGCGGAGCCCAGAACCUGUUCCCUGAGAACCCCAAGGAGACAUCUCUGCCACUGGACUCUGAGGGCUGGACCACAAAGCUUUCCUCAAAGUCCCUAAAACGUGAAAGCCUUCUGCGAGGAAGAAGCCAAAAGCUGUGGAGAAAGGCACCAUCCCUUAAACUAGCUAGAUGCAACACUCAUGGAGCUCUGCUUUCAUCUUGAUUACCUAGCCCAGACUGCAAAACUCUGCCGGUUACUCAAAAACAUUGGUGAGACUAGUACUUGUUUUAUUUUUCUUUAUCAGCUGCAGUGCUGCUGUCCAUGGUCCUGAUCUUAGCUUAAACUUCCAGAAUCCUGCGCCUACUCAUCUGCCAUCAACUUGCCUUGGUGGUGGACAUCAUGAUCGAUCAUAACUUGAUUAGAAAGCACAAUCACUCCACCUCUAUUUGCCUUUUGCGCAAAACCAACUUCAUUAGUGGUCACUGCCAUAGAGAUGUUUUCCCAUCACUGGCAUCACUGCAGUAUUUCUGAGUGGGGUGUGGGCCGGGGUGGAGAGAGGGCAGUGGGAAAGUUCAGGCUAGAUGAACACACCAGUGGAGCCAAUCCAGUGGUCCCUCCAGUUUAUCCUCAGUAUGCGGAGUGUGUAUGUAUAGUCUUUUUGCCAGAGAAACGUGACUCAAAGAAGUAGGAGACCCAGGGUUCGCUCUGAUUGUUUAGAAAUACACAAUCGCUUUGAGGUCCUCUCCCCUAGCAUGGAAGACGAAGAGCAGACUCCAUUUGAGGAUCUCUCCCUCAUUACAGUCAAUCAGGUAUAUGAAGACGAGCAGCAAAGUCAGUCCUCAGGGAAUGUGCAGGCGACCUUGGAAUGGACAGCUCACGGAAGAACCCCGACCAAACCUAAGAGGAGGCGUGUAGUGGUGAUAGGGGAUUCCCUACUGAGGGGAACAGAAGUAGUGAUCUGUGGGCCUGACAAGAUGUCUUGGGAAGUGUGCUGUCUCCCCGGGGCUAAGAUCCAAGAUGUAACUGAACGACUGCAAGGAAUCAUAAAACCCACUGACAAAUACCCCUUCCUCUUGGUUCAUGUGGGAACCAAUGACACUGCAAGCAAUAGCCUCCAGAAGAUCAAAAGAGACUACGAGGCUCUGGGCAGGAAGUUGAAGCAAUUAAAUGCACAAAUUGUCAUCUCAUCUGUCCUCCCAGUUGAACGACGUGGCCCAGGGAGAGAGGGAAAAUAGUGGAAGUGAACAGCUGGCUUCGCAAAUGGUGUAAACAGGAACGGUUUGGAUUCUUAGAUCACGGACUGCAGUUUCUUGAAGAUGGACUUCUGGCAAGCGAUGGGCUGCACCUCACAACGGUUGGGAGAAAUGUUUUUGCCAAAAAUCUCAGAAACCUCAUCAGGAGGGCUUUAAACUGACUAAUGUGGGGAGGGAGACAGUGCUCCUGAAGGUAGGAGUCUAUCAAUUGAUGAAGAUGAUCAUCCAAAUGUCAUAGACCAAAUGGAGCAAACAGCACGCAGACCUAGUGGUGGGAGGAAAAAAUCCUUAAAUAAGAGACACGGGGGAAUGAUCAAUGGACUUCAAUGUCUGUACACUAGUGCGCAAAGCAUGGGAAAUAAACAAGAUGAGCUUGAGCUCUUGGUACAGCAAACUAAAUAUGACAUAAUAGGCAUCACUGAAACCUGGUGGGAUAAGUCCCACGAUUGGAAUGUAAUAAUGGGGGGAUACAAUCUAUUUCAGAGAAACAGACCAGACAAGAAAGGAGGAGGUGUGGCGUUAUAUGUCAGGGAUGUGUAUACCUGUGAAGAGAUCCAAGAUUUAGAACCUCAAAGCCAAAGUGAGAGCAUUUGGGUCAAAAUUAAGGGAGAGAAGAAUAACAGUGACCUCAUUGUGGGAGUUUACUAUAGAUCCUCAAGCCAAACGGAGGACAUAGAUGAUGCCUUCCUGGAACAGAUGGCCAAGCAUGCAAAAGGAAGGGAGAUAGUAGUAAUGGGGGACUUCAAUUACCCGGAUAUUUGUUGGAUGUCAAACUCAGCCAAGAGCAUAAGGUCAAACAGAUUCCUCACUGGCCUUGCAGACAACUUCAUUGUCCAGAAAGUGGGAGAAGCAACAAGAGGAACAGCCAUUUUAGAUCUGGUCCUAACCAAUGUUGAUGACCUGGUUAGUGGGGUAGAAGUGGAAGGAUCAUUAGGCGCGAGUGAUCAUGCUCUUCUGAAGUUUACUAUACAGCGGAAAGGAGCAGCCAAGCAUACUAGGACUCAAUUUCUUGACUUUAAGAAAGCCGACUUCAUAAAACUUAGGGAAGUGCUGGGUGAGAUCCCAUGGACAGUAAUACUAAAAGGAAAGGGAGUUCAUGAUGGCUGGGAGUUUGUUAAGAGGGAGAUACUAAAAGCACAACGUCAGGCAAUACCAAUGAGAUGGUAACAUGGAAGGUGCCUAAAGAAGCCAGGGUGGCUAUCUAAAGAACUUUUAACUGAGUUAAGAUUAAAAAAAGGAUGUGUACAAAAAAUGGAAAAAGGGGAAACCACCAAAGAGGAAUUCAAACAAAUAGCCAGCACGUGUAGACACAAAGUCAGAAAAGCUAAAGCACAGAAUGAACUCAGGCUUGCUAGAGAGGUUAAAAGCAAAAAAAAAGGCUUUUAUGGGUAUGUUCGUAGCAAAAGGAAGAACAAAGAAACAGUUGGGUCACUCAGAGGAGAAGAUGGUGAAAUGCAAACAGGGGACACAGAAAGGGCUGAACUCCUCAAUGCCUUCUUUGCCUCAGUCUUCUCCGAUAAAGAAAACAAUGCCCGACCUGAAGAAUUUGGAGCAAAUGAUUCAGCAAAGGAAACACAGCCCAGAAUAACUAAGGAGAUAGUACAAGAAUACUUGGCUAGUUUAGAUGUAUUCAAGUCUCCAGGGCCAGAUGAACUGCAUCCAAGAGUAUUAAAAGAACUGGCAGAUGUGAUCUCAGAACCACUGGCAGUCAUCUUUGAGAAUUCCUGGAGAACAGGCGAAGUCCCGGCAGACUGGAGGAGAGCAAAUGUUGUCCCUAUUUUCAAAAAAGGGGAAAAGAGAGGACCCAAAUAAUUACCGCCCAGUCAGUCUGACAUCAAUACCAGGGAAGAUUCUGGAGCAGAUCAUUAAGCAAACAGUCUUUGAGCACCUAGAAAGGAAUGCUGUGAUCACCAAUAGUCAGCAUGGAUUUCUGAAAAAUAAGUCAUGUCAGACUAACCUGAUCUCUUUUUUUUGACAGAAUUACAAGCCUGGUAGAUGAAGGGAACGCAGUGGAUGUAGCCUACCUUGAUUUCAGCAAGGCAUUUGACAAGGUGCCCCAUGAUAUUCUUGUAAAGAAGCUGGUAAAAUGCGGUCUUGACUAUGCUACCACUCAGUGGAUUUGUAACUGGCUGACUGACCGAACCCAAAGGGUGCUCAUCAAUGGUUCCUCUUCAUCCUGGAGAAGAGUGACUAGAGGGGUGCCACAGGGUUCUGUCUUGGGCCCGGUCUUAUUCAACAUCUUUAUCAACGACUUGGAUGAUGGACUCAAGGGCAUCCUGAUCAAAUUUGCAGAUGACACCAAACUGGGAGGGGUGGCUAACACCCCAGAGGACAGGAUCACACUUCAAAAUGACCUUGACAGAUUAGAGAACUGGGCCAAAACAAACAAGAUGAAUUUUAACAGGGAGAAAUGUAAAGUAUUGCACUUGGGCAAAAAAAUGAGAGGCACAAAUACAAGAUGGGGGACACCUGGCUUGAGAGCAGUACAUGUGAAAAGGAUCUAGGAGUCUUGGUUGACCACAAACUUGACAUGAGCCAACAGUGUGACGCGGCAGCUAAAAAAGCCAAUGCAAUUCUGGGCUGCAUCAAUAGGAGUAUAGCAUCUAGAUCAAGGGAAGUAAUAGUGCCACUGUAUUCUGCUCUGGUCAGACCUCACCUGGAGUACUGUGUCCAGUUCUGGGCACCACAGUUCAAGAAGGACACUGACAAACUGGAACGUGUCCAGAGGUGGGCAACCAAAAUGGUCAAAGGCCUGGAAACGAUGCCUUAUGAGGAACGGCUAAAGGAGCUGGGCACGUUUAUCCUGGAGAAGAGGAGGUUAAGGGGUGAUAUGAUAGCCAUGUUCAAAUAUAUAAAAGGAUGUCACAUAGAGGAGGGAGAAAGGUUGUUUUCUGCUGCUCCAGAGAAGCGGACACGGAGCAAUGGAUCCAAACUACAAGAAAGAAGAUUCCACCUAAACAUUAGGAAGAACUUCCUGACAGUAAGAGCUGUUGGACAGUGGAAUUUGCUGCCAAGGAGUGUGGUGGAGUCUCCUUCUUUGGAGGUCUUUAAGCAGAGGCUUGACAACCAUAUGUCAGGAGUGCUCUGAUGGUGUUUCCUGCUUGGCAGGGGGUUGGACUCGAUGGCCCUUGUGGUCUCUUCCAACUCUAUGAUUCUAUGAUUCUAUGAUCUGAGGGAAAUGAAUAAAGCUGAUAGCACUAGAUGACCCUCAUGAUCCCUUCCAACUCUAAAAGUCUGUGAUUUUCUGAUUUAGUGACAUUUCUCAGGAUGGGGAAAGACCAUAGUUCAGUGGCAGAGCAUCUGCUUUGUAUACAGAAGCCCCCAGGUUAAUUUCCCAGCACCUCCUAGUUCAACAGGGACAAUUAUGGCCCCCUUGAGAGCCAGCAUAGAAAAUCAUGGGCUAGAUGGCCCAGUGGUUUAACUCCACAUAAGGUAGCUUCUUGUACAGUCAUACCUCGAGUUGAAUGUGCUUCGGGUUGAGCGCAUUCGAGUUGCACUCCGUGGCAACCCAGAAGUAACAGAGUGCGUUACUUCCAGGUUUCGCCCCUCGCGCAUGUGCAGACGCUCAAAAUGACGUCACGCGCAUGCGCGGAAAUGGCAAAACAUGACCUGCGCAUGCACAGACGCGCCGUCGCAUCUUGUGUUCCGUUCAGGGUGUGAACGGUGCUCCGGAACGGAUCCCGUUCGCAUCCCAAGGUACCACUGUAUUCCUAUUCCACACACUUUGUCAUCCAAAGUGAAAUCUGAAGCAAAUUUGCAGGUACCUCAAGCAACAGAUGUGAAUAAUUUCACUGAUUACCCAAAGAGCUUGGAUGAGUCUAGAAAAAUUUUAUCAGGGCAGUUUAUGACCUUUGACUAGUUAUCUUUUGUAGCUUAUUAAUGUGCCACCUCCAAAAUAGGUUGAUUCCUAAGUACCCCGCUUCUUGCACAUCUCUCUCUCUCUCUCUCUCUCUCUCUCUCUCACACACACACACACACACACACACACACCAUUGUUCACUUGUAUCAGGGCUGGGCCAUGAGCAACAUUCUGAGGUAAGUCCGGACCAAAGACUAAAUCAGAAGCAAAUUAUAAUCUGACAUCCCAGGAUUCAGGAAGACCAUGUUGCUCAAGCAAGGGUCGACUAGAGCAGGAAGUUGCUUCAUGGUCCUUCAUGUGGGGCAGGAUCCAAUAGCCAAUCUGGGUGAACAGAGUCAGACCAGAACCUGAAGGAACUUCACUGAGAAACUUUCAUCUGCAGUUCAGGGACUCCCCACUUGGGGCAGCCCACAGAUCCCAGCCGCUCCUGCCAAACUAACAGAAGUUAGAAGUUUCCUCCUCAUUAAAGUUAACUUCCUUUUUUAAGUGGAGGGUUGCCUCGUAACUCAUUAACAACUCCAAAAAAACCACUUUGGAAGGCAGUCUAAACUGUCUGGCAAAGGCAGACAUUUGGGAAUCCAUUCCUUCUCUUAAUGUGAUGCAUUUUCCAAACAGAGCUUCGAUCUAUUUAACAAGGACUGUCCAGUGGUCACAGAGCCCAUUAAAGGAAGUCUCAGAAGUGCAGUCUCUGACCGCUGAAAAGUUAAGUGCCCUUUCCAGGAGCAUUAAGGAAAUCCCUGCAAUGCCUGAAUGGUUUGCUGAAAAACGUGGG